rnacentral:rRNA from 1 species
AGCAGCCGCGGUAAUUCCAGCUCCAAUAGCGUAUAUUAAAGUUGUUGCAGUUAAAAAGCUCGUAGUUGAAUUUUAGGCCUGACCGGACGGUCCGUCUCUGGCGAGUACUGUUCUGCUGUCGGGUCUAUCCUUCUGGUGAGCCGGUAUGUCCUUUAUUGGGUGUGUCGGGGAACCAGGACCAUUACCUUGAAAAAAUUAGAGUGUUUAAAGCGGGCUUUUGCUUGAAUAGAUUAGCAUGGAAUAAUAGAAUAGGACGUUGGUUCUAUUUUGUUGGUCUAGGACCACCGUAAUGAUUAAUAGGGAUAGUUGGG